rnacentral:rRNA from 1 species
CCUACGGGAGGCAGCAGUGAGGAAUAUUGCACAAUGGACGAAAGCCUGAUGCAGCGACGCCGCGUGCGUGAAGAAGUAUUUCGGUAUGUAAAGCUGUAUCAGUACGGGGGAAAAUGCCGGUACCUGACUAAGACGCCCCGGCUAACUCCGUGCCAGCAGCCGCGGUAAUACGUAGGGAGCAAGCGUUAUCCGGAUUUACUGGGUGUAAAGGGAGCGUAGGCGGUGGAAUAAGUCUGAAGUGAAAACCCAGGGCUCAACCCCGGGACUGCUUUGGAAACUGUUUUGCUAGAGUGUCGGAGGGGUAGGUGGAAUGUCUGGUGUAGCGGUGAAAUGCGUAGAUAUUAGGAGGAACACCAGUGGCGAAGGCAGCUUACUGGACGAUAACUGACGUUGAGGCUCGAAAGCGUGGGGAGCAAACAGGAUUAGAUACCCGGGUAGUC